rnacentral:misc_RNA from 1 species
AACGCACAUUGCGCCCCCUGGUAUUCCGGGGGGCACACCUGUCCGAGCGCCGUUGCACGCACUGAGGCUCUGCCUUGCGAUGGCACGCCCGUUGGAGGGGCUGCCGAAAAGCGACAGGCGCCGGGCGCGAUACGACCCUGAGUAGGACAAUACGCGGGGGAGGGGCGCGCCGGCGGCCGCAUGUUUGAAAGAAGACUUGGCCUCGGAUCAGGUGGGGAUACCCGCUGAACUUAA